UUUCCGUAGGUGAACCUGCGGAAGGAUCAUUCAUAAUAAAGUGUUUUAUGGCACUUUUUAAAAAUCCAUAUCCACCUUUUGUGCAAUGUUAGAUCUCGUCAAUCUUGGCGAGAUUUGUAUACAUCAACUCAUUCUUUAACUAAUUUGUCUGAAAAAUAUUAUGAAUACUUAAUUCAAAAUACAACUUUCAACAACGGAUCUCUUGGCUCUC
rnacentral:misc_RNA from 1 species